UGUCACGAAAAGGGGUUUCUUUGUCAGAGAAAGGUGGGGUUGGUUUGUCGGGGAAAGGUGGGGUUUGUCUGUCAGAGAAAGGUGGGGUUCUUGUCAAGAAAAGGGGUAUCUUUGUCAGAGAAAGCUGGGGUUUGUCUGUCGGGGAAAGGUGGGGUUUGUCUGUCAGAGAAUGGUGG